rnacentral:rRNA from 1 species
ACGCUCGACACCUACGGGAGGUAGCAGUGGGGAAUAUUGCACAAUGGGGGAAACCCUGAUGCAGCGACGCCGCGUGAGUGAAGAAGUAUUUCGGUAUGUAAAGCUCUAUCAGCAGGGAAGAAGAUGACGGUACCUGAGUAAGAAGCCCCGGCUAACUACGUGCCAGCAGCCGCGGUAAUCUGAGCGGCUGGCAAGGC